GGAUGAAGACUUAGAAGUUUAAGACCCCCAAAAGAAAUCUUCCUGAAUAAAUGCCUACUGAUAUAUAGGGUUGGGUGUAAAAGAUUCCAACAAAUAUCUAGAGAACUAUGCAAUAAAAUAUUCAAUAUCUCUUAAUAAUUAAAGUUUGAAAUGAAUAGUUUAAAUUCAGGGCACACAGAAACAAGGGGCUGGUGUGGUUUCGGGGAGCCUUCUUGCAAGGAACAAAU
rnacentral:lncRNA from 1 species